UCUUUGUAGUCUUUGAUUCCUCUUUGGACUUUGUAUUUGAUUGAGAAUGGAACUCUCUAAGUGAAGGGCGUGGCUCUUGGGACUGAUCUUGUGGUGUUUGAAGUGGACUUGGACUUCUUUUCUUUGAAUUUGGAUUUUCUGCUCUUUUCCCGCUUCUGCUGUCAAUUCUGCUGUCAAUGUGAUUGGGGCAGUGAUUUGGGCAGAUCGAUUGGUCUAUCUGCCCCAAUCGCU
rnacentral:lncRNA from 1 species